CAGGACUGUCCAAAUGGUUUCAAACAAGAAGCUAACAAGUAAAAGGUGUGAGAGUCCUGGAUAUGCAAAUACAAGGGCCAUUUACUUUCUGAGGGAGUUAGAUUGUGACAAUACCUUGGCUCCAUGCAUGCUUUGUCUGCAGUUUGGUGGCUAGGGAAAGAAGUGCUCAGUGAUAGGAGGAUAAGUGUAGAGAAAUACAGAAAGAGACAGAGAGGAGCAAAGAGACAGAGAAAAGAGAAAGUAAAGUUGUUUCCCAUUGACUUAGAAAAUAUGUGGCACAUUUCUGGGAAGGAAGAAGAAAUGUGUACCAGGUUGAGAUUCUGCCACACAGUUUUGAAGCUAGAAUAAAAGUGAAUAUUUUUGGAGGGAAUUCGGAACAUUCAGGAUAUCCUUGUUGGAGUGUCUCAUUGGGACAGAUUGGGACUUGUGGGACUGCAGAGAGGGGCAGAUGGUAGCAAUGAGAUUAGGAAGGGAAACGGGACUAGCCCAACCUGGAUAAAGCCAAACUUUCCCGCAAGAAACUUUAGAAAUAAAGUCACCACUGACUAGGGAGAAAGUAGGUGAGUUCUACAUCAGAGAGUCAGAUCUGACAGGGACUAUACCACCAGAGUGCAAUUGUCCCUCUAUAAUUAGAAAUCUGCUCUCACAAACCUUCUCAGGAUCAUAUUCUGUGGAGACCAACUGGAGUUCAGAAGAAAAUGGUCAAAAACAUUCAGGGAGGAGAGCCAGAAAGCGACAGAGACACCUGAAAAGUUUAUUAGUGUUAAUGGCACACCAAGAGAAAACAGAGUCAUAAAGGCUAAGGCAAAAAAUAUCAUAGAAGUACACUUGAUACUUGAGUUUUGGUGUAUCUACUAACAUGAUUGAAUUAACGACUGUCUUUCACUCAAAUGAAUCCCAAAGCUAAAAGGACACAUAUUGUGUUUACUGGUUUUCAAAAGGGUGUAAUUCUUCAAGUAAGGCCUAUUUGGUGGCCUUAGGGAUCCAUUGGACAAACUGACCUUUGGGUAAGAGGCUGCAGUUCAAGACUAACGGGAGACCCCUGCUCAUGAGCCGGGGAGUCUGCCAUGGCAACUUCUGCUUGCAAGGUUGCAUUUCAGGGAACUAUAAGACUAGAAUGUUACAAGUUGUCUUGGGAGACGUUGGCCAAGAUGGGAAAUAUUUAUACUGGCUUCUCACAUGUACUCAUGUUCCCAGAACAUAUGUCUUGAACUUAGGCUUCCCAUGAAGAGAAAGUGUCAUGAAUGGCAGACAUUCAGAGACAAAGUCAGAUGCACACAGAGACAGGGCAAAACUGAGAGACAGAGAGUUAGAAAGGUGUUGUGUUAGACUGCAUGAAAUCUCUUGUUGUAAAGGCUUAUGAGGAAACCUUAGUGCAAUUUGACCUCAGGCCCAUAGCCUUAGCAUGACAGUGGGUUGCAGCUUCCAGUAGUUUUGGCAGCAGGUUAUCAGACCUGGUCAGGAAAUAGGAGGCAUGGUUUGAACAGUGAACAUGGCCAGAGUUCAGUCCUAACCUUUGAGCUUGAGGAAACAAGGUAUGGUUGCCCUAGUUAGUGACACUAGUAGGAUGGUGAUCAAAUUGACAUUUUCAGAGCUGCUCUUCAGAAUUUUAGGAAGAAACUGCUUGUUGGUAUUGCAGUACCUGGAUGGGUUGGCCAACCAGAAAUUUGUUGAUUGACCUAAGAGAGGGAAAAACAUCAUCUUCAAGGCCAUGAAGAGGAAAAAGAAAAAGAUUGAUACCCAGAGGCAUACUGUGAUUUAUGUGUCAACUCAUGAUAAAGACUUUGGGCAGAAAGGAGGGCUUGAAGAGCACUUGUGACCUGAUCAUCCCAUUGAGACCAAUCAAACCAACCCCUCCCAGAGCCAAUUGCAUCAUUCCUGCUGAAACACUGGCAAGACGAAUUUUGCCCACACAGUGUUGCAACUGUAGAACGUGAGCUCAUAGUGCACAGGGAAUGCCCAGCAACAAACACAUCCCUUGCCUACAGUUGAGGCAAAAGACUGAAUCUCCAGGAGUGAUAUUGCUUGGUGUUGGUGACUUGCAGGAGAUUGCCAAACCAAGGGUACUGCAACAUAAACGAAGAGAAGAUGACUCUCACAAAAACAUUCUAGGAAAAACUAAAAAAAAAAUGAGUCACCCAAGUCCAUGGGAAGUAGGAUAGAGGCUUGAAACCACACCCAUGCACUGUUGACACUUGAAAUCCUACUGUGAAUCAGAAGGCCAGAAGUCCAAGUGCUGCAUCUGUGGCACGCAUGGCCACAGGCCAGAGAGAAUGGCCCAGCACCCCAGGCUAUGCCUACAUCUGAUGGCAGCAGACUGAGCCGCCCGCACUGUCGUCCUCUGAUGUUGGUGACUUGCAGCAGAAGGCCAGAGGACCAAGGUAAGCAUGACAUGAAUUGUCAGCACGAGCUGACGAUUGUGGGGUCUUGGUGGUGCUGCGAGGUGUGCCCAUUCGUGCCUCUAAACCUGUCUGCACCAGCCUGUAGCAGACUUAGGUC